UACGUAGGGGGCUAGCGUUGUCCGGAAUCAUUGGGCGUAAAGCGCGCGUAGGCGGCUCGGUAAGUCCGCUGUAAAAGUCAAAGGCUCAACCUUUGAAUGUCAGUGGAUACUGCCGGGCUAGAGUCCGGAAGAGGCGAGUGGAACUCCUGGUGUAGCGGUGGAAUGCGCAGAUAUCAGGAAGAACACCGACGGCGAAGGCAGCUCGCUGGGACGGUACUGACGCUGAGGCGCGAAAGCGUGGGGAGCGAACAGG
rnacentral:rRNA from 1 species